CUUAGGAGCACGUUCAUUGAAGGCUGACGCGUUAGGCACAAACAGGGAGAAAAUAUCUACUGGGGGAAGCUGAAUUGGUUUUAAUCAUCUGCUAAUCACCAGUAAUGAGACCUACUCUGGGGAAGAAAAGAAAAACAGAUAGUCAGAGGGAGGUUUUGUUCUUCACAGCAGAGUAACAUGGAAUGAGAGGGCAGCUGUUAUUAGGAAAGAAAGGAUAGAAAGAAAGAAGGGAUUUGGCCCUAGCAGAUGAAGCGUCCUCGGCGGCACUCUGUUUUGUUAGCCGAGUGUUCCUUUCAUUCAGUCCCUGAAACUUCAGAUCUUGCAGGCUCCCUGACAGCCCACCUCUACGAUAUUGCUUCUUGAAGAAAGGAACCUCCCCCUGUCACCUCGGCCUUUACAUUCGUUCCUGGAGCAUUUUACCAUAGCACUUUACACAGUAUUUUUGCUUGAGGAGAGAAGAAAAGGAACUAGCAAGGGGAGCUCUUGAUGGGUACCAAGGCAUAAAAAAAAGGGUGUGUGCAGGGGAGCGGGCAUGCAGAAAGUGCGGUGAGAGCAAUUGUGAUCCCUUGUCAUGGGAGGUAAGGCCCGACAAGGAAUUCAGGAAGGAAGAAUCAGUUGCAAAAUGGUCGGUCCCCGCCAAAUUGGGUAGACCGUCUUUUUAAGUCGCGGGCUCUGUGUUUCAGGAAACUCAAGUGUGGCUAGGACUUGGCUGCCAUUUUGGAUGCUGUUAUUUCACAGACCUUUUCUUCAAAGUUCCAAUUCUUGCAAUUGCUAAUAAUAUAACUGUGUUUCACACGGCGGCUUAGGAAUACCGUUCUACAUUGGACAGGUGCUCUCCAUGAGGAGAAGUUUAUAAUAUACCUGCCUGUAUAAUCUCUCUGGAGUAAUCAAUAUAUUCACGUAGGACUGAAUGAUUACAGGAGCUUCCAGGGCCACCGCUGACUCUUCCUUCUUAAGCUCUUGUAGGCUGAGCCAGGGGAAACCCAAAGCACAGCCACCCUGGGUUCCACCCUGGACCAGGCCCUUCAUCCUCAGCUUAAACGUCUUUCUCAGCUCUCAGCCAUCCUCAUACUGAAACCUAAACUCCUGGUACCUGGACCCACGUUGUCCUCAGUCUCUCCUUCCAGUCACCUGGCUUGGAUUCUGUUCAACAUGAGGGCUUGCUGUUUCCUGCAUGGCCUGGCCUGGCCCCAUGGUUUUGUGGAUCUGCUGCCUAAUUUGUGAAAGUUUACACAACCUUUCUACGUGAAGAAUAUUGCAACUUUAAAAACAGCAUGAAAAAUUUUGUUACAUUAGGAUGCAAAAAGGGCGUGGUGGCUUAUGCCUGUAAUCCCAGCAUUUUUGGAGGCUGAGGCAGGAGGAUCAUCUGAGGUCAGGAGUUUGAUACCACCGUGGCCAACAUGGUGAAUCCCUGUUUCUACUAAAAAUACAAAAAAUUAGCUGGGUGUGGUGGUGCAUGCCUGUAGUUGCCUGAUUGAGUAUCCCAACACCUAACACACACAUGUGCACAUGCACACACACACCCAUGGCAAGUGAGAGAGAGAGAACCAUUUAACAAUGACUGAAGAUUAAUUGGUCUCAGGAAUUUAAAAUAACUUCUGUACAGCCAUUAGCUGGCUACUGAAAUAACUGAGCAGAGACAUCAGUGGCCACAAAUGACAAAUAACACA
rnacentral:lncRNA from 10 species